rnacentral:ncRNA from 1 species
UAUCUGGUUGAUUCUGCCAGUAGUCAUAUGCUUGUCUCAAAGAUUAAGCCAUGCAUGUCUAAGUAUAAGCACUCUUUUACUGUGAAACUGCGAAUG